rnacentral:rRNA from 1 species
CCAGCUAAGGUCCCAAAGUCAUAGUUAAGUGGGAAACGAUGUGGAAAGGCCCAGACAGCCAGGAGGUUGGCUUAGAAGCAGCCAUCCUUUAAAGAAAGCGUAAUAGCUCACUGGUCGAGUCGGUCUGCGCGGAAGAUGUAACGGGGCUAAACUAUGCACCGAAGCUGCGGAUUCAUCUUAGGAUGAGUGGUAGGGGAGCGUUCUGUAAGCGGUUGAAGGUGUACCGGGAGGUAUGCUGGACGUAUCAGAAGUGCGAAUGCUGACAUGAGUAACGAUAAUGCGGGUGAAAAACCCGCACGCCGGAAGACCAAGGGUUCCUAUCCCAUGUUAAUCAGGGUAGGGUAAGUCGACCCCUAAGGCGAGGCCGAAAGGCGUAGUCGAUGGGAAACGGAUUAAUAUUUCCGUACUUGGUAUAAUUGCGAUGGGGGGACGGAGAAGGCUAAGCAAGCAUGGCGAUGGUUGUCCAUGUGAAAGUGAGUAGGCUAGCGACUUAGGUAAAUCCGGGUUGCUGUUAGGCUGAGACACGAGACGAGCACCCAAGGGUGUGAAGUUGCUGAUGCCAUACUUCCAGGAAAAGCCUCUAAGCUUCAGAUUAUACCGAAUCGUACCCCAAACCGACACAGGUGGUCAGGUAGAGAAUACUAAGGCGCUUGAGAGAACUCGGGUGAAGGAACUAGGCAAAAUCGUACCGUAACUUCGGGAGAAGGUACGCUCC